ACCCGUCCGCUCCAAAAAAAAAAAAAGGCCGAGGGCGGCAGGCACAUCGCCGGCGACCCCAUCCGGCCGCCGCGGCUGGAGGAUGCGGGACUGGAGGACUGCGCGCUCCCGCAAGAGUCCAUCGCCGAGGCUUUCUCCCUUGCAGCGUUGGCCGUUUCCUCCCGCCUCCCUCACCUCUCCCUCUCUGAUGACGAGGACGAGGGGGACGACCCGCUCGCGCCUCGUGGAGGCUGCGUGGAGGCGGGACCCACCUGCGGGGCCAUUCCCGAAUCCCUUGUUGGCGGAGGGCGCGGCAGUGAAUGCCACGCCGACGAGGUCAUGGUCGUCGCCGGGCGCGGAGACGAGGAAGAUAGGGUUGUUGUGGUCGUCGGCCAAGAGCUGGGACAGGAGAAGGGUUGCGCCGAGGGGACCAGAGAAGGAGAGCAGCGGAAGGUGGAGGAUGGGAUUGUGGAGAAGGCCAUCUUGGUGAAAGAUUUCGCGUGA
rnacentral:rRNA from 1 species